rnacentral:rRNA from 1 species
UACGUAGGGGGCGAGCGUUGUCCGGAUUUAUUGGGCGUAAAGAGCUCGUAGGCGGUUUGGUAAGUCGGAUGUGAAAUCUCCAGGCUCAACCUGGAGGGGUCAUUCGAUACUGCCAUGACUAGAGUUCGGUAGGGAUGUGUGGAAUUCCUGGUGUAGCGGUGAAAUGCGCAGAUAUCGGGAGGAACACCAAUGGCGAAGGCAGCUCGCUGGGACGGUACUGACGCUGAGACGCGAAAGCGUGGGGAGCAAACAGGG